UACGUAGGGGGCUAGCGUUGUUCGGAAUUACUGGGCGUAAAGGGCGCGUAGGCGGCGCGAUAAGUUGGGCGUGAAAGGCCCGGGCUCAACCCGGGGACUGCGCUUGAUACUGUCGCGCUGUGAGUCCGGGAGAGGAUGGCGGAAUUCCCAGUGUAGAGGUGAAAUUCGUAGAUAUUGGGAAGAACACCGGUGGCGAAGGCGGCCAUCUGGACCGGCACUGACGCUGAGGCGCGAAAGCGUGGGGAGCAAACAGG
rnacentral:rRNA from 1 species